rnacentral:rRNA from 1 species
AAAAGGCUCACCAAGGCGAUGAUCCGUAGCUGGUCUGAGAGGAUGAUCAGCCACACUGGAACUGAGACACGGUCCAGACUCCUACGGGAGGCAGCAGUGGGGAAUUUUGGACAAUGGGGGUAGCCCUGAUCCAGCCAUGCCGCGUGAGUGAAGAAGGCCUUCGGGUUGUAAAGCUCUUUCGCGAGGGAAGAAAACUUACUCAAUAAUACUGGGUGAGGAUGACGGUACCUUGAUAAGAAGCACCGGUUAACUACGUGUUAGCAGUUGCGGUAAUACGUAGGGUGCGAGCGUUAAUCGGAAUUACUGGGCGUAAAGCGUGCGCAGGCGGUUUGACAAGUCAGAUGUGAAAGCCCCGGGUUUAACCUGGGAACUGCGUUUGAAACUGUCAGGCUAGAGUGUGUCAGAGGGAGGUAGAAUUCCACGUGUAGCAGUGAAAUGCGUAGAGAUGUGGAGGAAUAUUGAUGGUGAAGGUAGCCUCCUGGGAUAACACUGACGCUCAUGCACGAAAGCGUGGGGAGUAAACAGGAUUAGAUAUCCUGGUAGUCCACGCCCUAAACGAUGUCUACUAGUUGUUGGUGGAGUGAAAUCCAUUAGUAACGCAGUUAAUGCGUGAAGUAGACCGCCUGGGGAGUACGGUCGCAAGAUUAAAACUCAAAGGAAUUGACGGGGGUCCGCAUAAGCGGUGGAUUAUGUGGAUUAAUUCGAUGCAACGCGAAAAACCUUACCUGGCCUUGACAUGCCACUAACGAAGCAGAGAUGCAUUAGGUGCCCGAAAGGGAAAGUGGACACAGGUGCUGCAUGGCUGUCGUCAGCUUGUGUCGUGAGAUGUUGGGUUAAGUCCCGUAACGAGCGCAACCCUUGCCAAUAAUUGCCAUUAUUUAGUUGGGCACUUUAUUGGGACUGCCGGUGAUAAACCGGAGGAAGGUGGGGAUGACGUCAAGUCCUCAUGGCCCUUAUGGCCAGGGCUUCACACGUAAUACAAUGGUCGGUAUAGAGGGUUGCUAACCCGCGAGGGGGGGCUAAUCCCAGAAAGCCGAUCGUAGUCCGGAUUGUUCUCUGUAACUCGAGAGCAUGAAGUCGGAAUCGCUAGUAAUCGCGGAUCAGCAUGUCGCGGUGAAUACGUUCCCGGGCCUUGUACACACCGCCCGUCACACCAUGGGAGUGGGUUCUACCAGAAGUAGUUAGUCUAACCGCAAGGAGGACGAUUACCACGGUAGGAUUCAUGACUGGGGUGAAGUCGUAACAAGGUA